CCCACACACAAACCUGCUCCUCCAUGGUAUCAUCGUUCUCUCUGCUUCGUCGUUCUCUUAUUGAUCUAUUCAUACUCUUGCAUCUGGGAGCAACCUUCAAAGCCGGUGAUGGACGGGCUGCUUGCAAGGCUACCGAAGAGGUUCCAUCCGGGAGCAACCUAACGCGUACUCUCUCUCCUAACCUCAGCGCAUUCUAUAUAGCACAUCCUCUCAUCGAUCCCUUCCUCUCUUCCCCUUCAAUCGAAUCCCUCAUGGCCCCUUCCAAUUCCCCUUGAAUCGCAUCUAUCUUCCCCUCUCGGUUCCUGUUUCGAAUCUGUGUAACUGAGAUGUUUAUGGGUGGCAUAGAAUUGAUGAAUUCGACUUUGUGUAAAUCGCAGGUGUUUCGUAGAAACCCUAAAUCAGAUUCAGGCAGAUGCUCUACAUUAUAUCCUCCAUCAAGACAUAAGCUUGAGGAUUCCCCCAAAUUUUAUUUUCACCAUUAUGCCUUAAGUGAUAUCAAAAAUUGCAGCAAGUUGCUUUGGGGCUAUUGAUAAAGAAUGCAGCUGACAGGAUUGUGGUGAUGGAUAGAGGUCAUGUU